rnacentral:lncRNA from 1 species
GUGGAAAAUAUCAAAAAGCCUCUUUGGCUCAUUUCAGGAUGAAGGUCACAUCCAUAUUAAUUGCCCUGAUAAUGAAACCUUCCUAGAGGCCACCUGUCAGAACAUCUGGAGCUCUUGUUGUUACUGCUUCCAACAAGGCACCAUUUCCAUGCCUACGCCGACUUCAAAGACCCAUCUUCAAGGUUGAUGAUAUUGUUCUUUGUUUACUUCAUUUUAACCGGAAAGAAUCAGAAGAAAGUAGCGUUGAAAAGAAUUUGAAAUUCUUGUGCACUUCUGAAGUCCCUCUCACAGGUAAAUAGUAACUUAUUUAUGACUUCAAGCUUUUAU